CAUGAAGCUGGAAUCGCUAGUAAUCGCAGAUCAGAAUGCUGCGGUGAAUACGUUCCCGGGUCUUGUACACACCGCCCGUCACACCAUGGGAGCCGGGAAUGCCCGAAGUCGGUGACCCAACCGUAAGGAGGGAGCCGCCGAAGGCAGGCCUGGUAACUGGGGUGAAGUCGUAACAAGGUAUC
rnacentral:rRNA from 1 species